rnacentral:rRNA from 1 species
UUGACCUCAAAUCAGGUAGGACUACCCGCUGAACUUAAGCAUAUCAAUAAGCGGAGGAAAAGAAACUAACAAGGAUUCCCCUAGUAACUGCGAGUGAAGAGGGAAGAGCUCAAAUUUGAAAUCUGGCAGUGUUUGCU